UUGACACCGGCGGAAUCGGACGUCCACUGUCCUCGGCAGAUUUAACCAGGUGUUAUCGAAUGCAAACUUUAUCGCCAUCAGAUGAAGAUGACCAGCCUGUCGCUGACAGUGAGCCCACUACGCUGGAAGAACAGACUUUUUUCCGUCUCCAAACGACCGGAGAGUCACGAAGCGAGACAAUAACGCCCAGAAGUUACUGAAAUGAAUCGAGCUGGCAGAGGAAGAAACGGAAUGAACGCUAGCAGUGUUAGCCUUCACCACAGAGGAAAGGAAGGAAAGCAGAAGACAAAAUGGAGAAAAGACAAAAGUGAUGAAAGAGAGACAUUCGCAUACAUUUGUGUGUGCGUGCCAGAGGAGUGAAAGACGCAGCCAGGCUCAACUUGAAUCAAAUGAAAGCAGAGAAGUGGACUCCCCGCUGCUUUCCCAUCACAGUAGAAUUCACUCAGCCUCACACGGCUGUGUCAUCCACACUCAGCUGUACCCACUUUGUUUUAGAUAACGAUAAAGAAUGCACACAACCCUGAAUUGAUGUUUAAAUGCACACCUCUGCUGGCCUUUAUUAUUAAGAAUAAUAAGUUUCCUUCUUAAAAGCAAUCAAUAAACUUUAAUGGUGUUACCUGUUGUAUGUUUAAUGUCAUAUUUUAGUAAGAGUGAUGGUGGUUUAUUCCCUAGAAAAAUACAUUAUAUUUGCUCAAUCAUUGUCAAGAUGACUGGCGGCUUUUUACACUUUUUUUGUGUUAU